UUGUGAGGUUAAGCGACUAAGCGUACACGGUGGAUGCCCUGGCAGUCAGAGGCGAUGAAGGACGUGCUAAUCUGCGAUAAGCGUCGGUGAGGUGAUAUGAACCGUUAUAACCGGCGAUUUCCGAAUGGGGAAACCCAGUGUGUUUCGACACACUAUCAUUAACUGAAUCCAUAGGUUAAUGAGGCGAACCGGGGGAACUGAAACAUCUAAGUACCCCGAGGAAAAGAAAUCAACCGAGAUUCCCCCAGUAGCGGCGAGCGAACGGGGAGGAGCCCAGAGCCUGAAUCAGUGUGUGUGUUAGUGGAAGCGUCUGGAAAGGCGCGCGAUACAGGGUGACAGCCCCGUACACAAAAAUGCACAUAUUGUGAGCUCGAUGAGUAGGGCGGGACACGUGGUAUCCUGUCUGAAUAUGGGGGGACCAUCCUCCAAGGCUAAAUACUCCUGACUGACCGAUAGUGAACCAGUACCGUGAGGGAAAGGCGAAAAGAACCCCGGCGAGGGGAGUGAAAAAGAACCUGAAACCGUGUACGUACAAGCAGUGGGAGCCUCUUAAUGGGGUGACUGCGUACCUUUUGUAUAAUGGGUCAGCGACUUAUAUUCUGUAGCAAGGUUAACCGAAUAGGGGAGCCGAAGGGAAACCGAGUCUUAACUGGGCGUUAAGUUGCAGGGUAUAGACCCGAAACCCGGUGAUCUAGCCAUGGGCAGGUUGAAGGUUGGGUAACACUAACUGGAGGACCGAACCGACUAAUGUUGAAAAAUUAGCGGAUGACUUGUGGCUGGGGGUGAAAGGCCAAUCAAACCGGGAGAUAGCUGGUUCUCCCCGAAAGCUAUUUAGGUAGCGCCUCGUGAAUUCAUCUCCGGGGGUAGAGCACUGUUUCGGCAAGGGGGUCAUCCCGACUUACCAACCCGAUGCAAACUGCGAAUACCGGAGAAUGUUAUCACGGGAGACACACGGCGGGUGCUAACGUCCGUCGUGAAGAGGGAAACAACCCAGACCGCC
rnacentral:rRNA from 1 species